AUGUUUUUCGAUCGCAAUUCGCAAUAAAAUAUGGAGGGCAGCAGCGAAAGUGCCGCUACAGCACAAUUAUUGCCUGACAAAUCAAAACCCAGGUACGAAAACGUUUAUGAUUUGUUCUCGAAAUGGAUGGAUAUGAGCAAUGCAAAACUAUUACAGAGGAUAUAAUUUUGGCUUAUUUGGCGCAAAAAUCCGAAAAUGUCAAAUCCUCCACUCUGUGAAGCAUGUACUCCAUGUUGGAAAGUACCAUUUUAGUGAAGAAAAAUGAAGAAUGUUAGUUACAGAGCCAAGAAAUCAGAAGUCUUCAGCAGUGGGCAGAUCAACAAAUUCAUUAGGGAAGCGGAAAAUGAAACAUAUCUAAUGCUGAAUGUAGCAACAAUUAUUGGGUUAGCCGGUGCGUGUAAACGAGAGGAAGUAAAAAUGUUUCAAUUGAUCAAAUAAACGACAAGGAAGACAUGUUGCUCAUGAAAAUACCGGAUUCCAAAACACAUAUUGAGAGAACAUUCGUUGUAAUUGGGCAAGAAAACCUGCUGUUGUAUAGGCAAUAUUUAUCUUUACGGUCAUCCCAUACUCCUGCUGCUCUAGCCUGUACACUGGAAAAUAUCUAUAUUUGUUGUGACCGUCAGGAAACCCUGAAUUGUGCAUCCCCGCGUUUUUUACCAGUAAGGCAGUAAAGUCUCAAUGAACUUCACCACCUUUCUGAGGGCCACAUCCAUUACUUGUUCCGGCUCUAGGAACCACGAACCAAGGUGUUGUAGACUUUUCCGUUGAACAGCUUCGCACUCGCAUAACAAGUGUUUGGCUGUCUCAGUGGCUUCUAGACAGAAGCGACAUGUGUCAUCGGGCGGUUUUUCCAUGUGUUUGAGAUGAUACCUCACGGGACAGUACCCUGUGAGUGCGCCCGUCAAUUUCCUCAGCUCAUAUGAGUGAGUGAGUGAAAUUUCUCACCUGACACAGAAAUUGAAAUUUUUUGAUACAAGUCUACAAUUUUUUCGAAUAUUUUUUUUUCUUGAGCUGAUAGAGAAUGCGCUCAGUAACAAGCCUGUGAAAUAUCAACAAAAAUUCUAUAUUAACGCAAAAUUAACGAAAAUAAGAGAGUUCAUAGUUUUAGCAUUUUUUUCUGAAUUUCAUCCAUGAUAGGGAAUGAAAGAGACGAUAGUGAAAGUAGCUCUGUUAAAAGUGUGAAAAUCGGGGGUAUCAAAUGCAUUCAAUGAAAAAAAGUGGUGGACAAUGUUAAGUACAUAAAGUGUGACGG